rnacentral:misc_RNA from 1 species
AACUUUUAGCAACGGAUCACUUGGCUUUCGCAUCGAUGAAGAACGCAGCGAAAUGCGAUAAGUAAUGUGAAUUACAGAAUUCAGUGAAUCAUCGAAUCUUUGAACGCACCUUGCGCCCCAUGGUAUUCCGUGGGGCAUGCCUGUUUGAGUGUCACGUGAAACUCUCACUCGCGUCUUGCCGUGAGGCUCGGCGUGCAGUGGACUUGGACCGUGCCGUCGUCGGCUCGUCUUGAAAUGCAUUAGCUGUGCUGCGCGAUUUCGGCCGCCUGGUGUGAUAAAUAUCUACGCCAACCGUGCGUCGUCGCUGCCGCGUGGCUCAUAACCAUUUUAUUUUUAACGCUCUGGCCUCAAAUCAGGUAGGACUACCCGCUGAACUUAAGCAUAUCAAUAAGCGGAGGCU